CCUCCUUUUCUUUGUGGGGACCAGGCAUGCAAUCCCAGUCCCCAUUAUGUAUGGAGGCAGAGGAAGAGGACUCCAGCCCCCUUGGCAUCGUGUGCCAGCAGCUUCCCAUCCACUGGUCCUAUCCUCGAUCACCGGGACAUGG
rnacentral:snoRNA from 1 species